GACUACCAGGGUAUCUAAGCCUGUUUGAUCCCCACGCUUUCGUGCCUCAGCGUCAGUGUCGGCUCAGUAAGCUGCCUACGCAAUUGGUGUUCUGUGUAAUAUCUAAGCAUUUCACCGCUACAUUACACAUUCCGCCUACCUUAACCAAACUCAAGACUAUCAGUAUCAACGGCAGUUCUGCAGUUAAGCUGCAGGAUUUCACCACUGACUUAAUAGCCCGCCUACGCACCCUUUAAACCCAAUGAAUCCGGAUAACGCUUGCAUCCUCCGUAUUACCGCGGCUGCUGGCACGGAGUUAGCCGAUGCUUAUUCCCAGGGUACCGUCAGUCACGCAACACGUGCGUAAGUUUCUCUCCCUGGAAAAGCAGUUUACAACCCAUAGGGCCGUCUUCCUGCACGCGGGAUGGCUGGUUCAGGCUUGCGCCCAUUGACCAAUAUUCCUCACUGCUGCCCCCCGUAGG
rnacentral:rRNA from 1 species